rnacentral:tRNA from 1 species
GAUUUUGUAGCAAAAACAUUUUUGUUCCAAUUUCCAAGCAGCAAAUAUGGUAGGAAUAUAAAUUCUUUACUAUUUUUCCUCUUAACACAUAAAAGUAAAAAAAGCAUUCAAUGAUCAGUUAAAAUCUGGUUAGAAUUC